GUUGGUUUGGCCGAGUGGUUAAGGCGCUAGACUGCUAAUCUGGUGGGUUAUGCCCGCGCAGGUUCGAAUCCUGCAGCCAACG
rfam:Vitrella brassicaformis CCMP3155 genome assembly, contig: scaffold381